CCUACGGGUGGCUGCAGUGGGGAAUCUUGCGCAAUGGGCGAAAGCCUGACGCAGCAACGCCGCGUGCGGGAAGAAGGCUUUCGGGCUGUAAACCGCUUUCAGCAGGAACGAAAAUGACGGUACCUGCAGAAGAAGGAGCGGCCAACUAUGUGCCAGCAGCCGCGGUGAUACAUAGGCUUCAAGCGUUGUCCGGAUUUAUUGGGCGUAAAGAGUUCGUAGGCGGUCGAGUAAGUCGGGUGUGAAAAUUCUGGGCUCAACCCAGAGACGCCACCCGAUACUGCUUAACUUGAGUUCGAUAGGGGAGUGGGGAAUUCCUAGUGUAGCGGUGAAAUGCGCAGAUAUUAGGAGGAACACCGGUGGCGAAGGCGCCACUCUGGAUCGACACUGACGCUGAGGAACGAAAGCAUGGGUAGCAAACAGGAUUA
rnacentral:rRNA from 1 species